GAUGAACGCUGGCGGCGUGCCUAAUACAUGCAAGUCGAGCGAACGGACGAGAAGCUUGCUUCUCUGAUGUUAGCGGCGGACGGGUGAGUAACACGUGGAUAACCUACCUAUAAGACUGGGAUAACUUCGGGAAACCGGAGCUAAUACCGGAUAAUAUUUUGAACCGCAUGGUUCAAAAGUGAAAGACGGUCUUGCUGUCACUUGUAGAUGGAUCCGCGCUGCAUUAGCUAGUUGGUAAGGUAACGGCUUACCAAGGCAACGAUGCAUAGCCGACCUGAGAGGGUGAUCGGCCACACUGGAACUGAGACACGGCCCAGACUCCUACGGGAGGCAGCAGUAGGGAAUCUUCCGCAAUGGGCGAAAGCCUGACGGAGCAACGCCGCGUGAGUGAUGAAGGUCUUCGGAUCGUAAAACUCUGUUAUUAGGGAAGAACAUAUGUGUAAGUAACUGUGCACAUCUUGACGGUACCUAAUCAGAAAGCCACGGCUAACUACGUG
rnacentral:rRNA from 1 species